rnacentral:misc_RNA from 1 species
ACAGAGUUGGUGAUGACUUAUUGAUACAAAAACAAACAAAUAAAGAAAAUAUUAUAACGCUGAUAUCAUAUUGGUAAUAGCUGGGUUGGUUGGGAGAAGCUGUCCUGAGGAAAAACAAGCAUAUCCCACGAAUACUCCCCAUACUAUUGAAAUGAUGGAACUACCCUUCACAAUGUUGCAUAUUACGCUUCUACCCCACCUUUCGCGCCUCCCCAAAAUACCCUCAUCACCAUCCCACCGCAGACGGCAGAUCGACGAAUCUCCUCCUCUCCUGGAGAAUUAGAGUCAAAAAGAAGGAUUUCAAGUACCCAAAAAGCUCUUAUAUUCUAGAAAAUACAUCCUUGUCCAUUUUCAGAAAAAAAUUUAUCAAGAACAAAGCAGGAAAAUGGAAAUUAGGGCAAAAAACACAGGCAUUAGUAUGUAUAUUUUCAUGGAAACUUCAGGCCCUGAUUUUUACAGAAGAAAAACAAAAGCCCUGAAAAAUAAGAAAAACUCCUUUAAGGUUCAGGUGACAAAAAGCAUAUUUACACGCGAAAAAACAAAACUAAAAGAUCUCUAGAUUUUUCUCCCUCAAUAUAUCUCAAGGAUCUUUCGGAAAAAAGAGGUCUAAUCUAGAAGUAGUCAUCAGUGAACAAUGAACCCUGAAGAUCUUCCAGGUCACGUGAUUCAAGGCCGAGACGAAGCGCUUCCAUGAUUCUUUCAAAAACCAGUACGUGACAGGGAAUUCUCAACACUCCUUUUUGGUCGUAGCCAUAUUCCUGAGCAGACUUGUUAAGAAGUCCGAUGAAGAUCGGGUGGUUAAGUAGCUCCGCGCUCACCACAAACCGCUCCAUCUCGUCUCCGACGUACACAGGCACAUGACCUUCAGGCACCGAUGACUUGCCUCCACCAGCUCUCCUGGCCGGCUUAACUAAGCAACGAAAAGACUCCGCUCGGUGCGUCGAUCUCGAGGCCGCUGAACAUCUGCGGGAUUGCGAGUCAGAACGCAGAAGGCUGUACUGAGAGGAGUCGGCGACUCGUGAGAGGCGGCGGAUCAACUGCUUCAUGGAUUGCUAGAAAGAGAGGAGGUUAUAGUAAGGACCCAACUUGGGAUAGAAAGAGAAAGCGUGAAUUUGGAGUAUGAAGGCCUCUCCAAGAAAAGAAGCGCAAAAAUAAGUGGGUUUUCACAGAGAGUGGAAAAGAGAGUGCGUG